rnacentral:lncRNA from 1 species
GCUCUGUUGCUAUGCGUGCCAAACUCUAGGAUGUUCUGGUGGCUUCAUAGAGAACAAUUCAAAGUAUGAAGAUUUUCUGACCACAGAGGGUAAUCUUAGUUCUGUCAGUCAACCAGAGACAACAUUGAAUACAGGGAAAAUGCCUUAUCUAUAAAACGUGAAAAAAUGUUUUAGUAUUCCAGAAAAAAAUCACUUGAAUAUAGUUUAACAUUUGUGGCAUUAUAGAUGUGAGAAUCAGUUUGUUUCUCAAAACUGUUUUCUUUCUAUUAAGCCCCAAUUUGUCUCAAAGAUAUUCUUUUAAUUGCUAAAUUUACGCAGCCAAUGUGCGGGGAGCUGCCCGUGAGAACGGGGUCCUUUGUUCGAAGGACACAGCUCUGGGAGCUGCCUCAGUCCUUGAGGGUUUGCUUGCAAACAUAGCUCUCUGUCCCGCCACCCCAGAGAUUAGGCGCUUAUUUACUGCAGACACCUGGAGUUCGGUGCAAACUUCUCAGCACAGGGAAAUGUUAUCUGGUGUAAGAAAUAAUAACAGGGUGCCAUUCCCAUGCUCUCAAGAUUUCUUGUGACUUUUUGUAAGAUGUAUAGGACAACCAAGAAAAAAUGUCAACUGUCUUGUCUUUCUCACGCUUUUCGUAUAAAUAUAAGAUGCUGAAUAAAGUUGGUGUCAGACUGCGUCCCUUCGUGGAGACGUGUCUGAACCUCUCGACCCCAUCUUUGUUGUAGUCUCUUGCUUUAGUUUCUUUCUUAGCCCCGCCGUGCACGUUCUCGGGACCUGAUCGACUUUGCCAGCUGGCACCGGCACCAAUGCAUCCACUUUCAGAGCAUUUUUGAGAGUUGGUGAAUCUCAGAUUUUCACGUUGCGUGGAAACUCCCAGGGAGAGUACUGCGGGGUCACCAGGCAUGAGUUGCUGGAGGAAGCCGGGAGACAAGGCGUGCCUUCGCACAGUGGGACGGGCCAACUGUUGUGGUCUGGCUGGAGGUGUGUAUGCGCACCCCCCCACCCCCACCCCCACCCGCGCCCGCACCUGCACCCCCUUCCUGGGCCGGGUGUGUCAGUCCCUCCACAGCCACGCAUAACCUCCUGCCUCCUGUCUCCCGUACCCAGCUCUGGGUCGGGAUGCCGGCCUGGUAGGUGGCUGCUUGCCGAGCCAACGUGAAGAGCGGUGUCAUCAUGUCUGCCCUGUCACACGGAGAUCCAGCGUGAGAUCGGCAUCAGCAACCCGCCGCACCUGCUGAAGCUGCGCCUGGCAAUCCAGGAGAUCAUGUCCCUGACCGGCCCCUCCGCCCCUCGCACGUCCAGGUCCAGAACGGUGCACCUCCCUCCUUCCGUAGGGAGAGUUCGCCACCCCCCCUCCCCGUUUGUGUCGCUUGCGGGGUUUUCUAUACAGAUGUCCACUGUUCCAGCUUA